GGAGGCAAGUAAGAAGACUUCAGAUUGUCUCUGAAUAUAUGGUCGUCCUGAGAAAGGAAUAAAAAGAAAACCAUUGUGGAGCAUCAUCAUUUGUGCACUUCUUGAAAGAGUAGAUAAUACUAAGAAUUAAAUCUGAGAAUGAAGAAAUUUUCUCUUGCAACUCUCUGCUGCUCGCUAUGCUUUUGAUACUGAAUAAAUGAUGGAUGGGUGGAUGGAUAGACUGACUGACUGACAGUUACAAACUCUUUAUUUGUUGGCCUUUUGUCUUACCUUACAAUCACAAAUUAAAGGUAAUACACAGAGAGCAUCUUUUACAACAGCUAUAAGAUCGUCCAAUGAUAUGUUUUUCUUGAUUUAUCUUCUACUUAUCCUGAUAACAAUAACAUAACCUUAAAAUAACCAAUAAGAAAUAUAUUUCUUCAUUCUGGACAAAAAGGUGGGAUAAAAAUUGAAAUAAUAACAAAUGUUAUAAUAAUUAACACCCAGACAUAAUAAUUGUUGAUAAGAAAGACAAAAAAAGAGGCUGGAUAAUAGAUGUGACAGUAUCUGGAGACAGUAGAAAAGAAAGAACUGGAGAAGCUAAUAAAAUAUAAAGACCUGCAAAUAGAAAUAGAAUGACUGUGGCAAAUGAAAGUAGAGUAGUAGCAGGUGCUUGGAGCACCACUUGAACCCAAUUGGCAUGGAUAAAAUUCAGCAUCAGUCAAUUGAAAAAGGCGGCAUUACUCGGAACAGCUACGAUAUCUGUAAGACCAUCAAAUAUCCACAUCUGCCUGUCCCAAGUGUUUGGGAAAGACUCUAUAGGCCAACAAAAAUACCAAAUCCAGUUGAACAUCUGGCAAUGAACCAUAAUAAAAGUCAAUACAUAACAUUAUGCCCAAAUUAUUGUUUGACUGUAGCAAGAAGCCUUGCCUGAAAAUCUGUGUUUGGUCUCUCCUUCAAUUAGCCUCACCAGAUAUUAGAUUUCAGCACUCUUGCCUCCAUUCUUUACCUGGAUCUUCACUGCUGCAUGUUGCUUGUUUUCUACUCUAUUACCUUCUGGGAAUAAAAUUCAAAAUAACAUUGACAUACUUGCUUGACAUAUAGCCAUUCUAAGGAUUUUAAAAAUAUUUUAUUAUUCUUUGCACCAGACAAAAUGUAAGAAAUACAGAAGUUGCUGAGGAUUCUGGAUGUCCUUCCCCAGAAGAACUGUGGAACAAAGCCAUCAAAAGAUAAAAAUGCAGAAAAAUCUCCACAAUGCAGUUCCUCCCUCUCCAUGAGAAAAUAAACUGGGCAACUGAUCAGAUGGUUGUUAACUACAGAUAGUCCUUGAUUAUAGAAUAGAAUAACAGAAUUCGAAGGGACCCUGGAAGUCUUCUACUCCAACCCCUUGUUUAGGCAGGAAACCCUACAUCACUUCAGACAAAUGGUUAUCCAACAUCUUAAAAAUUAUCACUAUUGGAACAUUCAAAAUUUCUAGAGGCAAAUUGUUCCACUGAUUAAUUCUUCUAACUGUCGGGAAAUUUCUCCUCAGUUCUAAGU